UUAUGUAAACAGCUUCUGCAGGAAAUAAAUCCCUGCACCACCCAUCUUACUCCUUAUUGUGAGAUGAGUGAGAAGUUUGACUUUUAAGUGACUUUCAACAAAGUGAUGACCAAGAAUUAGUAUUUCAGAUUCCCCCUUGUCUGUUUACAUUCCCCCAAAGCCUUGCUGUGUCUACAGAGAAGUUAUGUGUUGCUUAUUCCAAAUAGAAGAGCAGACAGAAAGGAAACGCUGAUUCUGAUUUGAUGAGGCUAUGGUUUGUGCGUUCCGGUGCCAUGCGGCGCGCCUGUGACCCUGAUUUAUCCGUUCAUUUUCCACCGGAUUAGUUUGGCGCCCAAUUAGGAUUUAAAUGAUCCUUCAGUGAUAAACGUGACCAAACAGAUGCGUUCUUACCGCUAUGCGAGUCUGUGAAGAUGCUUUAAGGUGUAAGACGAUCCUUUGUUUGGGGACGGAGGGAAGGUCGUUUUGGACUUGCCGAGGUUCCGCCGUUGAUCCUUUUCCUUGUGUGUGUGUGUUUUUUAUUUUUCCCUCUCGGGGAGGAAACAGCGGGACGUUUCUCUGACGGCUUGUCAAUGUUCACCUCGCAGCAUCACUACGAAGACGUGUGCAGGCACUCUUUUGUCCAUGUGUUCGCUCCUCAGUCGAGCUGAACGUCGAUCGAGCUAUGUGGUCUGCUGCGUAAAACCGGUGCCAAGAUUCCUGCGGGCCCGCUCCGUUGCGAAGAUGCGAGACAAUAGUCUGGUCAUUUUGGCAGGGAUCGAACCUCCUUUCAGCUGAGUCGGCCGAUUUAGAAGCGAAUCUCGGGCGCUCGUCCCUUCACAUCGCUCUGGCUGCCUGGCUCGGGAAUUCAGCGAUAAAUAUGUCAGUGGCUCACAUGCCUGUUGGCUCCGGCGCUGCCUUUCGGGUCCCUCAUCUUUGCUCUUCCUCGCAGGAGGAGUGGUGAACAGUUGCCGAUCUGUUGAUCACCUGAAGAUCCGCCCGCAAGCAGCGUGUUUAUCCGGGCCGCAGCCGGAACCUUUAUUGGCUGAUCGGGUGGAGCUCGAUGAUUUGCAUGUGACCAAGCCUUCCUGAGCUGCCUACUGCUGGAGAUUCCAGAGGAAAAGAUUGGUUCCUGAUGCUAGCAGGAUGAGACAAGUGUGACUGAGUCACUGACACACGGCAGAGCCACUGCGGUCCAUAGUAGCAGAGAGACAGGCCAGAACACAUGAACACUAGAAAUGCAAAUACACUGCAGGGAAAGGUGACAGAUGAGGUGCUUAGGAGAAAGCUGCAAAGGAACAGGAGGAAAUUGCCCCAAGCAGGCCCUGUACCACAGUCUGCUCCGGUCUAUAUUUAGCACAAGGGCCACAGAUUGUAACAAGUGCUCCGGGGCCCCGUGUUCAGACGGGCAAGAGCUGCUGCCGUACGUAUCUGCAACCCGCGGCCAGGCACGAUCCCGGCUCAGGAAGAGCUGGAACAAACACGCUAACUCAAAACAUGUGUAAAGUUCAAAACGCUCUAAUGGAGCAGCUUUGUGGCGGGAUGCAAUACCCCAACCAGAGCCGAGCCGCAGCUUCACUCCUGCUCGUCUAGUUUGGGCUUUCGCCAUCACAAAUUCCUCCCGUUCUCUUUCCCCUCGGCGUUUGGAAAGGGCAGAACAUACCCCUCCCCCAGCCCCUCGUUUGCCGAAAAGCAAAUCACUUGUCUUGCUGGACAGGAUUGACAUUCAGUGCAAAAUGUCAAAAGUCGCUCAAGUCAUAUUUGACUCUUCCUGUUUGUGCUCUAACCUUCGCCAUCUACAACACCUCCAGUACGGCUGCCGGGAUAUUGUCAGCGGUGAGUGAUGAGGGCUUGAGCUGUUCAGACAGCAGAGUCUACUGAAGGUGUGACAAAGACUUAAAUCGCGAUCCGUCC